rnacentral:rRNA from 1 species
GGGACACGUGGUAUCCUGUCUGAAUAUGGGGGGACCAUCCUCCAAGGCUAAAUACUCCUGACUGACCGAUAGUGAACCAGUACCGUGAGGGAAAGGCGAAAAGAACCCCGGCGAGGGGAGUGAAAAAGAACCUGAAACCGUGUACGUACAAGCAGUGGGAGCACGCUUAGGCGUGUGACUGCGUACCUUUUGUAUAAUGGGUCAGCGACUUAUAUUCUGUAGCAAGGUUAACCGAAUAGGGGAGCCGAAGGGAAACCGAGUCUUAACUGGGCGUUAAGUUGCAGGGUAUAGACCCGAAACCCGGUGAUCUAGCCAUGGGCAGGUUGAAGGUUGGGUAACACUAACUGGAGGACCGAACCGACUAAUGUUGAAAAAUUAGCGGAUGACUUGUGGCUGGGGGUGAAAGGCCAAUCAAACCGGGAGAUAGCUGGUUCUCCCCGAAAGCUAUUUAGGUAGCGCCUCGUGAAUUCAUCUCCGGGGGUAGAGCACUGUUUCGGCAAGGGGGUCAUCCCGACUUACCAACCCGAUGCAAACUGCGAAUACCGGAGAAUGUUAUCACGGGAGACACACGGCGGGUGCUAACGUCCGUCGUGAAGAGGGAAACAACCCAGACCGCCAGCUAAGGUCCCAAAGUCAUGGUUAAGUGGGAAACGAUGUGGGAAGGCCCAGACAGCCAGGAUGUUGGCUUAGAAGCAGCCAUCAUUUAAAGAAAGCGUAAUAGCUCACUGGUCGAGUCGGCCUGCGCGGAAGAUGUAACGGGGCUAAACCAUGCACCGAAGCUGCGGCAGCGACGCUUAUGCGUUGUUGGGUAGGGGAGCGUUCUGUAAGCCUGUGAAGGUGUACUGUGAGGUAUGCUGGAGGUAUCAGAAGUGCGAAUGCUGACAUAAGUAACGAUAAAGCGGGUGAAAAGCCCGCUCGCCGGAAGACCAAGGGUUCCUGUCCAACGUUAAUCGGGGCAGGGUGAGUCGACCCCUAAGGCGAGGCCGAAAGGCGUAGUCGAUGGGAAACAGGUUAAUAUUCCUGUACUUGGUGUUACUGCGAAGGGGGGACGGAGAAGGCUAUGUUGGCCGGGCGACGGUUGUCCCGGUUUAAGCGUGUAGGCUGGUUUUCCAGGCAAAUCCGGAAAAUCAAGGCUGAGGCGUGAUGACGAGGCACUACGGUGCUGAAGCAACAAAUGCCCUGCUUCCAGGAAAAGCCUCUAAGCAUCAGGUAACAUCAAAUCGUACCCCAAACCGACACAGGUGGUCAGGUAGAGAAUACCAAGGCGCUUGAGAGAACUCGGGUGAAGGAACUAGGCAAAAUGGUGCCGUAACUUCGGGAGAAGGCACGC